GUUACUCACUGCUCCCCAACUCCUUGGGUAAUUGGGAAGUCAGGACCUGAAAUCUGACUACUGAUGAGCAGCGAUUCAUCUGGCGUCCAGCAGGGGGCAGCAGGCAAAAAGUCAACAAUUGUGAGCGUCCUGCACCGUGGGCAAGCGGCCUGGAGGUGGUGCCCAAAAGCCCCUUGGCUGUGCUGUUCCUGCCGAAGGAUGUUGAAGCAUCCUGGACCCAAGGAUAUAUCCAUGCAAGUAAAGGGACAACUUUCUCUAUAUCUAGACUCAUGUGAGUAUUUAUGCAGUUAUGUGUGUACCUUAGAGGUUCCUUCAAUUUUUCUGCCCAUUUACACAAAUGCACAUAACUAA
rnacentral:lncRNA from 1 species